rnacentral:rRNA from 1 species
AUUGAACGCUGGCGGAAUGCUUUACACAUGCAAGUCGAACGGUAGAGGGGGCAACCCCUCGAGAGUGGCGAACGGGUGAGUAAUAUAUCGGAACGUGCCCCGCCGUGGGGGAUAACGUAGCGAAAGUUACGCUAAUACCGCAUACGAUCUAAGGAUGAAAGCGGGGGAUCGCAAGACCUCCCGCGAUUGGAGCGGCCGAUAUCAGAUUAGGUAGUUGGUGGGGUAAGGCUCACCAAGCCAACUAUCUGUAGCUGUUCUGAGAGGACGACCAGCCACACUGGAACUGAGACACGGUCCAGACUCCCACGGGAGGCAGCAGUGGGGAAUUUUGGACAAUGGACGCAAGUCUGAUCCAGCCAUUCCGCGUGCAGGAUGAAGGCCCUCGGGUUGUGAACUGCUUUUGUACGGAACGAAAAGGUCUCUCUUAAUACGGGGGACUCAUGACGGUGCCGUAAGAAUAAGCACCGGCUAACUACGUGCCAGCAGCCGCAGUAA